GGCUCAAUGGUCUAGUAGUAUGAUUCCCGCUUCGGGAGUCUCUCCCCCGAGCAUUGCUCGGAUAAUCUAAAUGCGGGAGGUCUCGGGUUCAAUUCCCGAUUGAGCCC